rnacentral:rRNA from 1 species
AAUAGAUACCCGGGUAGUCCACGCCGUAAACGGUGGGCACUAGGUGUGGGCAGCAUUCCACGUUGUCCGUGCCGUAGCUAACGCAUUAAGUGCCCCGCCUGGGGAGUACGGCCGCAAGGCUAAAACUCAAAGGAAUUGACGGGGGCCCGCACAAGCGGCGGAGCAUGUGGCUUAAUUCGACGCAACGCGAAGAACCUUACCAAGGCUUGACAUACACCGGAAACAUCCAGAGAUGGGUGCCCCCUUGUGGUCGGUGUACAGGUGGUGCAUGGCUGUCGUCAGCUCGUGUCGUGAGGUGUUGGGUUAAGUCCCGCAACGAGCGCAACCCUUGUCCCGUGUUGCCAGCAGGCCCUUGUGGUGCUGGGGACUCACGGGAGACCGCCGGGGUCAACCCGGAGGAAGGUGGGGACGACGUCAAGUCAUCAUGCCCCUUAUGUCUUGGGCUGCACACGUGCUACAAUGGCCGGUACAAAGAGCUGCGAUACCGUGAGGUGGAGCGAAUCUCAAAAAGCCGGUCUCAGUUCGGAUUGGGGUCUGCAACUCGACCCC